rnacentral:rRNA from 1 species
GAUGAACGCUGGCGGUAUGCUUAACACAUGCAAGUCGAACGGACUCUUCGGAGUUAGUGGCGGACGGGUGAGUAACGCGUGAGAAUCUGGCUUUGGGUUCGGGACAACCACUGGAAACGGUGGCUAAUACCGGAUGUGCCGAGAGGUAAAAGAGAAAUUGCCUGAAGAUGAGCUCGCGUCUGAUUAGCUAGUUGGUGAGGUAAAGGCUCACCAAGGCAGCGAUCAGUAGCUGGUCUGAGAGGAUGACCAGCCACACUGGGACUGAGACACGGCCCAGACUCCUACGGGGGGCAGCAGUGGGGAAUUUUCCGCAAUGGGCGAAAGCCUGACGGAGCAAUACCGCGUGAGGGAAGAAGGCUCUUGGGUUGUAAACCUCUUUUCUUAGGGAAGAACAAAAUGACGGUACCUAAGGAAUCAGCAUCGGCUAACUCCGUG